rnacentral:rRNA from 1 species
GACGAACGCUGGCGGCGUGCCUAACACAUGCAAGUCGAACGCGAAAGCCCCGCAAGGGGUUAGUAGAGUGGCAAACGGGUGAGUAACACGUGGGUGACCUGCCUUAGAGUGGGGGAUAACGUCCCGAAAGGGACGCUAAUACCGCAUAACAUCCUGCCUUUGAAGAGGUGGAGAUCAAAGCCGGGGACCGCAAGGCCUGGCGCUCAAAGAGGGGCCCGCGCCUGAUUAGCUAGUUGGUGAGGUAAGGCUCACCAAGGCAACGAUCAGUAUCCGGCCUGAGAGGGCGGACGGACACACUGGGACUGAGACACGGCCCAGACUCCUACGGGAGGCAGCAGUGGGGAAUUGUUCGCAAUGGGCGCAAGCCUGACGACGCAACGCCGCGUGGAGGAU